UGGGAAGCUCAGGAUCCCCAAAAUCUGACA
rnacentral:piRNA from 1 species